AGUUUGAUCCUGGCUCAGGACGAACGCUGGCGGCGCGCCUAACGCAUGCAAGUCGAACGGAGUCAAGAGGAGCUUGCUUUUCUUGACUUAGUGGCGAACGGGUGAGUAACGCGUGAGUAACCUGCCCUGGAGUGGGGGACAACAGUUGGAAACGACUGCUAAUACCGCAUAAGCCCACGGCCCGGCAUCGGGCUGCGGGAAAAGGAUUUAUUCGCUUCAGGAUGGACUCGCGUCCAAUUAGCUAGUUGGUGAGGUAACGGCCCACCAAGGCGACGAUUGGUAGCCGGACUGAGAGGUUGAACGGCCACAUUGGGACUGAGACACGGCCCAGACUCCUACGGGAGGCAGCAGUGGGGGAUUUUUGCACAAAGGGGGGAAACCCCUGAUGCAAGGAACCCCCCGUGGAGGAAAAAAGGUUUUUCGGAUUGUAAAACUCCGGUCGUUAGGGACGAUAAUGCCGGUACCUAACAAGAAAGCACCGGCUAACUACGUGCCAGCAGCCGCGGUAAAACGUAGGGUGCAAGCGUUGUCCGGAAUUACUGGGUGUAAAGGGAGCGCAGGCGGACCGGCAAGUUGGAAGUGAAAACUAUGGGCUCAACCCAUAAAUUGCUUUCAAAACUGCUGGCCUUGAGUAGUGCAGAGGUAGGUGGAAUUCCCGGUGUAGCGGUGGAAUGCGUAGAUAUCGGGAGGAACACCAGUGGCGAAGGCGACCUACUGGGCACCAACUGACGCUGAGGCUCGAAAGCAUGGGUAGCAAACAGGAUUAGAUACCCUGGUAGUCCAUGCCGUAAACGAUGAUUACUAGGUGUUGGAGGAUUGACCCCUUCAGUGCCGCAGUUAACACAAUAAGUAAUCCACCUGGGGAGUACGACCGCAAGGUUGAAACUCAAAGGAAUUGACGGGGGCCCGCACAAGCAGUGGAGUAUGUGGUUUAAUUCGAAGCAACGCGAAGAACCUUACCAGGUCUUGACAUCCGAUGCAUAGCUUAGAGAUAAGUGAAGUCCUUCGGGACAUCGAGACAGGUGGUGCAUGGUUGUCGUCAGCUCGUGUCGUGAGAUGUUGGGUUAAGUCCCGCAACGAGCGCAACCCUUAUUGCCAGUUACUACGUAAGAGGACUCUGGCGAGACUGCCGUUGACAAAACGGAGGAAGGUGGGGAUGACGUCAAAUCAUCAUGCCCUUUAUGACCUGGGCUACACACGUACUACAAUGGCGUUUAACAAAGAGAAGCAAGACCGCGAGGUGGAGCAAAACUCAAAAACAACGUCUCAGUUCAGAUUGCAGGCUGCAACUCGCCUGCAUGAAGUCGGAAUUGCUAGUAAUCGCGGAUCAGCAUGCCGCGGUGAAUACGUUCCCGGGCCUUGCACACACCGCCCGUC
rnacentral:rRNA from 1 species